CGGCCGUGGACAGCGUCGAUCAGAUCCGCUGCCACAGUGACCCAGCCUGGAGGAAGGGCAUUCACUUGUAUGUGGAGCCCCGGGAGUUUACAAUCACGCCCAGCCAAGGGACCAUCCUGCCCCAGGGACACCAGGACAUCCAGGUGACCCUGUGUUCCAACUCGGUGAUGGAGUUCUAUAGGAAAAUGCUGGUGGAUCUGGAGGGUUUUGGCAAGGGAGUGGCAUCACUGGUCAUCACAGCCAGAUGUCUCGUUCCAAAGCUGCAAGUGUCCCCCCACGUGCUGCAAUAUGAUGAGUGCCUCCUGAAGGUGCCAUAUGAGAAGAAGUUCCUGAUUAGGAAUCCCAGCCACCUGCCUGGCUGCUACGGGCUUAUU